GGUGUAAAGUUAACCAUUUGAAGUUAGGUGAUUAAUUAGGAUUUGGAUACCAGCUUUCCAAACUGAAGAUGAGGGUUCGAUUCCCUCCGCCCGCUCCA
rnacentral:tRNA from 1 species